GACGAACGCUGGCGGCGUGCCUAAUACAUGCAAGUCGAACGAACCGCGACUAAGUGCUUGCACUAAGUCAAGGUGAGUGGCGAACGGGUGAGUAACACGUGGGUAACCUACCUCAUAGUGGGGGAUAACAGUCGGAAACGACUGCUAAUACCGCAUAGGACAUAGGAUCACAUGAUCCAGUGAGGAAAGGUGGCGCAAGCUAUCGCUAAGAGAUGGACCCGCGGUGCAUUAGCUAGUUGGUAGGGUAAAGGCCUACCAAGGCGAUGAUGCAUAGCCGACCUGAGAGGGUGAUCGGCCACAUUGGGACUGAGACACGGCCCAAACUCCUACGGGAGGCAGCAGUAGGGAAUCUUGCGCAAUGGACGCAAGUCUGACGGAGCAACGCCGCGUGAGUGAAGAAGGUCUUCGGAUCGUAAAGCUCUGUUGUUAGAGAAGAACAGCGCAUAGAGUAACUGCUAUGCGUGUGACGGUAUCUAACCAGAAAGCCACGGCUAACUACGUG
rnacentral:rRNA from 1 species